rnacentral:rRNA from 1 species
UACGGAGGGUGCGAGCGUUGUCCGGAAUCAUUGGGCGUAAAGGGCGCGUAGGUGGCCCGGUCAGUCAGUGGUGAAAGCGCGGGGCUCAACUCCGCGUCGGCCAUUGAUACUGGCGAUCUCGAGUCCGGGAGAGGUGAGUGGAACUGCGAGUGUAGAGGUGAAAUUCGUAGAUAUUCGCAAGAACACCGGUGGCGAAGGCGGCUUUCUGGACAGUAACUGACGCUGAGGCGCGAAAGCUAGGGGAGCAAACAGG